GCCCGAUUAGCUCAGCUGGUUAGAGCGUCGUACUAAUACCGUAUGCGAAGGUCAACAGUUCAAUCCUGUUAUUGGGCA
rnacentral:tRNA from 1 species